rnacentral:rRNA from 1 species
AAAAACAUAGCCCUCUGAAUCUAUAAAGGGUCCCGCCUGCCCAGUGGCUUAAGGCUAAACGGCCGCGGUAUCUUGACCGUGCAAAGGUAGCAUAAUCAUUUGUCUUUUAAAUGGAGACUCGUAUGAACGGCGAAACCUUUUUCAACUGUCUCCCCUCCCACCCUUUUAAAUUUCUUCCUGUGUGAAGAAGCACAGAUAUAUUAGAAAGACGAGAAGACCCUGUCGAGCUUUAGUCACCAAGUGGACCGCUUCCUUUUAAGGUACCACCUAAAGGCUUUGGUUGGGGCAACCAUGGAGAAAAAAAAAUCCUCCAGAACAAAUAGAAGAAAACCCUUCACUAUCUUAAAAUUAAGAACCAGGAACUGGUAUUCGGAAAAAGUUACCGCAGGGAUAACAGCGUCAUCUCCUCUAAGAGUCCUUAUUGACGAGGAGGUUUGCGACCUCGAUGUUGGAUUGGGGCCCCCUUAGGGUGCAGAAGCUCUAAACGGUUAGACUGUUCGUCUAUUAAAGCCCUACGUGAUC